rnacentral:snoRNA from 1 species
ACGACCUUGCUUGAACAGUAUCUGUUCUGUAGGUUUGUACCUCUGUAUCCUUGGUUUCUAAGGAUACAGGAACUUAAACCUGGAUGAUGAUAUAUAACCGUGCGAUUCGAGUGUGUCUCGAAAGAGUUUCUGCGCUGUAGAAGAUCACUACCCGGUUAGGUCUUCCUCUCUGGAAUGGUCGUACGGUUGUCUGACAGGUU